UACGUAGGGGGGCGAGCGUUGUCCGGAUUUAUUGGGCGUAAAGAGCUCGUAGGCGGUUCCGUGAGUCGGCUGUGAAAUCUCCACGCUCAACGUGGAGGGGUCAGUCGAUACUGCGGUGACUCGAGUCCGGUAGGGGAGUGUGGAAUUCCCGGUGUAGCGGUGGAAUGCGCAGAUAUCAGGAGGAACACCGGUGGCGAAGGCGGGGUCCUGGGCCAGUACUGACGCUGAGGAGCGAAAGCGUGGGGAGCAAACAGG
rnacentral:rRNA from 1 species